GUUUACGGCCAUACCACCUUAGGCACGCCCGAUCUCGUCUGAUCUCGGAAGCUAAGCAGGGUCGGGCCUGGUUAGUACUUGGAUGGGUGACCGCCUGGGAAUACCAGGUGCUGUAAGCA
ensembl:rRNA 5S_rRNA 5S ribosomal RNA